GAUUUUAAAAUAAAAACAUAUUUUGGGUUCAGAGGAGAACAGUUUGGUCAUAAAACUAAAAUCUUGAAGGAGAUUGAUUUUAUGCAACAGAUCUGUGAUACAAUAGGAGGAGAAUACACUGAACCUGAACCUGCUCCUACCCCAGCACCUCCUGCCCCUCCUCCCCAGAAUCCUGUUCGGCUGAAAAGAAAUGUAUCUUUGGCUCACGAUGCUGCCGCUUCUCUUACACAUCAUUAAUCGAUAAUUGAUCUGUCGAUUUUCAAUUGAUUUAUCAAUCUAUCUACAGUUUGAGGGACCUGGAAAUUAUUAAACCUAGCAUAAACUUGAUGACCAGACAUGUAAAUUGAGCUUUAUCAAAAUUGCGAAUUGUCGCUUCUUUUAACCAUUUAUUUCUCUCUAUUAAGAUGCCUUAAAAAUAUAUAUAUAUAUAAUAUAUUUUAAACUUACUUUCCAAGAAAGGAAAAUUCGAUUACUUUCAGAUAAAAUGGCGGAUCAGUUGAAUGGAAAUGGUAAACGCGGCAUUGAUGAAAUCCACGAAGAAUCAACUGAUCCAACGGGAUCAGCUGUUGUUAGUGAAUUAGCUGAUGAUGGUGUUACUAUGCUGGAUGUAUUGCAAGAUGAGCAAGAGUUAGAAGAGGAUGCGAAUGCUGUCUUGGGAGCAGGAGACGAUAAGAACUGUAGCUAUGAUCAGGGUUAUGUAAAAAGACAAGCACUUUAUGCCUGCACUACAUGCUCAGUGCCAAGUUCUCCAGACUUCAAACCUGCAGGAAUUUGUUUGGCCUGUUCCUAUCAUUGCCAUGAUGGACACGAGAUGGUGGAACUGUACACAAAGAGGAACUUCAAGUGUGACUGUGGUACACCCAGGUCUGGACUGACAGCAUGUAAGCUUCGACCUGGAAAGAUUGAGAAUGAGAACGUGUAUAAUCAGAAUUACUCCGGAACUUACUGCUCCUGCUGUCGACCCUACCCUGAUCCACAGGAUCCAAUCCAGGAUCAGAUGAUCCAAUGUAUUGUCUGUGAAGAUUGGUAUCAUGGUCGCCAUCUUGGAUUGGGGGCCGGGCCCCCUGAGGACUCAUCGUAUGCGGAGAUGAUCUGUUUGCAUUGUGUUGCCAAAUAUCCUAUUCUAAACCAUUACCAGGGACUGCAGAAUACAGGGGGAGCUCGAGAUAAAGAUGAAUCUGUUAAUGUUAAUGUUGUUGACGUUGAAGUCAACAAAACAGUUGAUUCUAGUACUCCAGAUUCCUUGGAACCUGUCUGUAAACUACCAACCAAUAAUCCUGAGUUGACCGGAACCAUGUUUCUCCCUGAAAACUGGCGCAGUAGCCUGUGCCAGUGUUCCUCCUGUGUUCUACAGUAUACUCAACACAACAUUAGUUUCCUUCUUGAUAACACAGAUACUGUCCAUUAUUAUGAAUCUCAAGGGCUGAGCGAAAAAGGACAGUUUGAGCAGGGCAUGGAAGUUCUCUCCCAGAUGGACAGGGUUAAGCAGGUCCAGGCCAUAUCCAUGUACAACAACAUGAAGACUGAUCUCAUGGGCUUCCUCGCCGACUUCGCCAGGGAGGGGAAGGUCGUCAAACAAGAAGAUAUUCAAAACUUCUUUCAGGAGAUGAAGUCCAAGAAGCGUCCCAAGUUGGAUCUGCCCCCUCCAGACACCUGUAAAUAGUUGGAUAUAUACUAGACACGUUUAAAUAGUUGGAUCUAUACCAGACACGUUUGGAUCAAACACGUGUAAAAAUUAAAUAUUUGAAUCCGUAUCUAUUUCUAUCCCGGUGCAUUCGUCCAAUGUUUCCUAAAGAUCUCACAUUUUUUAUUUUUGUUAAAUUGUUCCAAAUCUGUUAGCAAUAUGCAUUUAAUUCAAAAUAAAAAUAAACAUAUCAAUAUCUUU
rnacentral:misc_RNA from 1 species